rnacentral:lncRNA from 1 species
UGAGAAAGUCGGAAGCUGAUUUCCUGCGGGCAAAGAAAGGAAUCAAAGCAAAAGUGACUGAGGUGGAGCACCUUGGCAGUGUGGUCAAGAAACUGAAAGCCAGUAUCCAGGACACACAGAAAGAAAGGAAUCAGACAGAGACAGAAACUGCCAUACUGAGAACUGAGCUUCAGCAGCUAAAUCAGGAACUGCAGGGUGUGCAUUAGCAGUGCAGAAGGACAGCCCAAGAACUUGCCAGUCAAGAUGAAAAACUUCUUCUAAUGGAAUCCAGCUUGAAAGCAACUCAAGAGCAGCUAAGUGAGCAAACAGCAGAAACAGUUCACCAAGAACAGAACAGUAGAAAAUCACAGACAGAGCUGAAAGAAGAUCCUGAGAGAACGUAUUAUAGCUUCUGAUGAAGAAAUUAGUGAUUACAAAUACAUCUCAGUGUGCACUGUAUGGAGACACCAAAGCAGAAAUACUCGCAUAGAUGACAGAAUGUUCAUCUUGUUUGCAGUUGUCUAAACUCUUACAGAAAAAAUCCUGAUUUCUCUUAAAAAAGCAGAAAACUGUGUGGAGAACUUUAAGGUCUGAAAAAUGUGAGUAAUGCCUCCAGAAAAGCUUAAAUGGGAAUCACGCCAAGAAUGUGGGACCAGGAAAGUCAAAUUGUCAGACUGAGACAAAACUUUGUGGAAAUGGAAGAAGAAGUAAAGAACUUAAGACUUACACACAGCAAUGAUGCUCAGAUGAUUGAUAAGAAUCUGAAUACUCUGAGAAAUGAGAUGAACUUGUAUGAAGACACAUAGGAUGGUAGUCAAAUGAGCUGAAGUUUAAAUAUGAACAACACAAUGCAACACUGAGGCCUGCAUGACUGUAAGAAUGUUAGGAUAGAAAAUUGUCUUUGGUAGCAGCAAAGAUUAAAAAAAUAGUAUCACUUAAAUAAAUACAUGUGAAGAAGCCAAAUUUGUAACAAAAAGGAAACCAGUAAAUGAAUUCACAAAAGCCAGCUACUACAUAGCAAAUCUCUGUAUAAAUGGGCUGAGAGUAUGUACCAAGAAGAAGGCAAGUAUCUAUUCUUUUUCAAUGGGAAAAACAAAAAACAAAAAACAAACAAACAAAAAAGCUAUUUCAUCCUUACUUUGGGAAAAAGGCACACAAAACCAAAGCAAAAAAUGCCUCACUGACUGCAUCUGUCCAUUCUGUACUGUAAUUUGUUUCCCGCUAUGAAGAUUUAGGUUAAAUUCAUUUCUAUUAUUAAAGACAAAUAAGCUGCAAAAGAACUAAUUCUCUGUCUCCAUCUUUUACAUGUAUAUUUAUUCAUAUGAAUGCACUUUUGUUCAUUUAUUUUUACUUCUACCUUGACAAAGCUGUGCAAAAAAUAACAUAGUUUGAUUACUCAUAAUUUGCAUUUGUGUAAUUAAUAGGGAUGAAAAGGAUUAAAAUCAAUGGAGAAAUAUUUAUUUGUUUAAAUUGGAUAACUAUGGAAAAACUAUUUGGCAGGAAUGAAAGCUUUUCCAUCUAAAUUACGUCAUAUAAUUUAAACUGUUUUAGUUUUUAAGCUUAAAAAGCAUGAAAAUCACAAAGCAGAACUGGAAGAAGACACAGAAAAAUACUGCCAUGUAAAGGAAGAGCCUUCAGAACAAGGGUCUCAGCUCAAAAUUAGCUAGCUGGUCCAUUCUGGAGUGGGAAAACUGAUAAAAUGCCGCAGUACUCAGGUAAUACCCUUGAUACAAUAUGUGGAAGGGAGACAGUGUUUGAAGUAAUAUCAGUGAAUGUAUCAGAGUACUCUCAGAGAAUUUUUCCAACGGAUAAGGAAAUAUUAUUUAAAUAAUACUAACUGUAAAAUUCACUCAUGAGUGAUUGAGAAAACAUGAGAAAUAUUGUUGAAAAUAUCAAGUCAAUAUAACAGCAGCAUUUCUUCUUUUAAAAGUGUUGUGGGUGGGAUUCACCUUGUUGAACUGGAGGUAGGAAUAUUUGAAAUAGAUGUCUAAGUUCCAUUGCUGUCAUUGGAGACUUAAUCAACUCAGUGAGUGAAAUCAAGGGCUAUCAAUACCUUUCAUUACCCAAAGUGAACCUACAGAAAAGCUGGAGAGUGACUCUUUAUCAGGUAGCAUUGUCAUAGGACAAGGGAUAGUUGCCUUCAACUAAACUAGAUUAGACAUUAGAAAGAAAUUCUUCACUAUGAGGACAGUGAGAUACUGAAAUAAAUUGUCCAUAGAAACUGUGGAUGCUCCAUCUCUGGGAGCAUUCAAACGUAGGUUGAGUGAAGCCCUUGGCAACUUGAUCUCAUGGAAGGUGACUGUGCUAUGGCAGGGAAUUAGAACUAGAUGAAUUUAAGUUCUCUUCCAAACCAUUUUAUGAUUCUAUGACUAAAUAUUGAUCCAAUCAAUAUUAAGGUUUUCAGAGGAGCUGAAAAUCAAUCCCAGUGACAAUAUUAUUCAUUGUGAUAGAACACAUUCACACACCGUAAUGCAGACAUCCAAAUUUGGGUAAGAAUAAUCAGAUUAGAAAAGUUAGCCUUUUUGCAGCAAUUCAUUAUAUAAUACGGAAUUAUUUUAUUUAUUUUUGUUACUAAUAAGAGUACUAGAUGUUUCACAAGCAUAGAUACUGGUCAAUUAUCUGAGCAAUAUCCAAUAUAUAAAUACACAAAGUUAGAAGGAAAUGAUCAAUGCCAGAGAGAAAUAAAAGUUAAAAUAAUACAUGCUUUUUCUUCUGUGUCUGAGAGAAUGUGAGUAGAUGUGAAAGUUGGAAAACCAAAAGAAUUAGUAGUAUGACAACAUUCCUUUUCUACCCUAGCAUUGUCAAAAGAUAACAAGAUUAAUUCUCUGCUGUAGUAUUUCACUACAGUAGUGUGUUAAUUUGAGGGGCUUGGCUGAGCCUUAUUCAGCAUAUAAUUAGAAUUUACUGAACUUUAAUUUCUUAUCAUCUUUAGGCUGCAUUAUCAAAGUGUUUAUAUUGAAACAUUCAAAUGUUCAGUUAAAAAUAAACUUCAGUUUGUCAAGGAUACAUUGUAUACAAAUUCUGUGGAAAUAUUUGAAUAAAAUUGUUCACUUUUGCUUUGUGAGAAAUGCUUUGCACUUUACAUAUUUAUAACAUAAUGUCAUUAGAGUAUGUAUCUUAGAAAUAUAGCAAUUUCCUGGUGAAUUUAUUGAAUAAAUGCUUAUCUAAUAAGUAAUUUGAGAGUAGAGAAAGAUCUAAUGAAAAGCUAAAUACACAGUGAAAUCCUAAUCAAGCAAUUGAAAUAGUUACUCAUGAUAAAACUAAGAUUAUCAGAGUAUCAGAACACAAAUUACUCCAUUAAUCUUUUGAAUUAGUCAGUUCUUAUUUUCUGAAGCUAAGUAACUUGGGAAGGUACACUCAAGGUUUCAUCUUUCUGAAGACUGUAUUUAUUACCUUUACUUUCAUAAAGAGUUCAUUAGAAAGAAUAUUACAGUGAAAUACGUUAACUUUUUAGCCUGUUUUAAUGAGGUCAUGUGAGUCUUUAAUUAUCUGACAUAAAACUGCUUAGUUUUACGUAGUAUCUACAGAUACUAAUUAGUAUCUACAUAUAUACAUUAGUAUCUACAUCAAUUAGUAUCUACAGAUAUUAACGGAUUCAUAUGUCAUAAAGCCAGAAGAAACGCUGUUAUUGAAUCUUAUAUGUGGCACAAUGCAGGCCACAGGACUUCACUGAAUUGAGUAGUUGUAAGAGAUUAUUCUUUUAUAUGAUUGACUCAAAGUUUGCUGAGGAACAAGUCCAGGCAAGUCCUGGGCAAAGGUACAGAAAUCUUCUGUCUGGAGGACACUGAUGGACAGGUCCUGGCUAAAGGAUUGUGAAGUCCUUUAAGGAGCACAGAUGGACGAGGCCAGGGGCAACGAGAGAGGGAUAAGCUGCUGAUAAUGGCUGAGAAAUGGUCUUUUGUGUGGACUUAUCUAGAAGAAGAUGGCCAUCUCAGGAGCUACGCACAUGACUCUUGCUCAAGCACCCAGGGAUGUCACGUAGGCAGGAAAAAGAGGAGGAUAAAAGAGGGUCUAACAACCAUGAGGAGAGGGUUUCUGCCAUCAGAUCCCUCACCACGACGGACUCAAGGUUUCUGCCAUCAGAUCCUUCACUACGGACCAUAUGCUGAUGGACUUCCCUGGGCCUGCUACCUGAGACCUGCUGCUUCCUCCCAGACUUACUCUGCGGCUUCUUCCUGGACCCACCCGGUACCUGCACCCUCUCGUUGCCCAAGACCGGCCUCGCUGCUCCUGCCCUUCAGCCUCGGACCAUCAGAACAUCGUGCAACAGGACUACUGCUGGUGUACGAGAAUUCCCAGUCGUGGACUUCUGUAUGUCAGUGAACCAACAGGCUGUAUACUCUAUUACCAUGACAGAAAACAGUGCACUGGCAACAGCAUCACAAACACACAGAAUCCGGAGGCCUUCCAAGUGUCACUAUAGUAAAGUUUACACAGCCUUUGGACUAUACAUUAAACAUUCCAGAAAAAUGAGUAUGUGGUGUGUGGGCGAGAGGCUGGGAGAGAACAUAGCUAAGAUAACUGACCUAAACUGUCUAAAAGGAUGCUCCAUACAAUACGACAUCAUGCUCAACAAUAAUAAGCACAAGGAAAGGAGUAGAAAAGUCGGAUAUUCAUAGCUAUAAUAUUCAUCUUCCCAAGCACCAGUCAUGAUAAGGUCCUGUGUCCCAGGAAGUCUGAAAAUCUACAUGUUGAUGGGAAGCACCAACUGAAUAUUGCUUUUUGCUUUUCUCAUAGACUGGAGUAAGCAAGAGGCAAAGAUGAGUCUGUCCAAUGACCAGUGUCAACCCAUGACAGACUUCAAAUGGAUAUAAGUGUGGAAGUUCGUAUUUGAAGAUACAUAUGGAUUUGUUUACAUAUAUAGAAUUGUGUUGAGUUCUGUUAAUUGCACAGUUUUUUUCAGUGGAACACAGUGGUAUAUCCUGAAGCAAAUCAUACUGCAAAUUAAAAUGCACAGAGAUCAGAUCCUAUUUUUUCAUUAUGGAAAAAAAAAUAAUUUACAGUCAUUUCUUUUCUGCAUGAAAAAUCCAAGACCUGAAAAAGGCACUUGUUCACACUAUGGUUGGGAGGUUUUGAACAGCAUAUUUUAAGCAGCUAAAGCAGCCUUCCAUGUCUUUUGGAAAUAGAAAUCCAAUGAAAUUUUCCUAUAGGAGAUAUCGUCAAAUCAAAAGUAGGAGAUUAACAAAUUAAACAAGUCAAAGAAGACCUGAACAAUCAGACCACGCACUCUAACCAUCAACAAAAUUCUGAGUGCAUAUGUAUGUCUCAAAAUAUAUAUGCAUACAUAUAUGCAUUUACUAUAUUACCAAGAAAGUUUCUUGGUAGUUCUUUCGGGUUAAUAAAAUCGGGUUAAUAAAAUAAAAUCUGUGGGAAAGGUGAAAUCUGUGUGAUGUAUCUGUCAAAAUAUUCAUUACAAAUAAAAUUCUUUAUACUUUUUAACAGUAGAUGUUAUUUUAUGCACAAGUUUUGAUGUCAUCCUGAUUAUCCCUUUGUCUUUCUCAAUUGUAAGGAUUUUUAUUUAAUUUGAUAGUAUUCAUCCUUUUUUCUCUAACUUUUUAAAAUUGUAUUUCUUCAGAAAAAUUAACACUCUGUUGUCAAGUAAUUUGUUACUCUUUACUGAUCUUUUCUAAAUUUUCUACAGUGUCCCUUAUUUGACAUAAUUAACAAUAUCCUAUUUAUUGAUCAUCUUUAAUUUCAAAGUAGAAUCCAUGUAAUAAUUACAGAAAGAUUAGAUUAUUCUGUAAAUGCCAUUUUUGUUUCACAUAUUUACUCCUUUUGCAUCUUUUUUUUUUUUUUUUUUUUUUUUUUAUCCUCCCGUGUUUGGGUAUUAAGAAAAAGUCGUUCAUGAAGGAAGCAAAAUAAAUGAAUAUCAUUUUUUUUAAAAAAAUUUGUUCUGAAUGAACUCCAUAAGACUAGCCUUGUGUAUGCGUUGUUGAAAGGCUAGCACAGAAAAACAUUCUGAAGUUUUCCUCAUGGUUUAGUUUGGGAUAAUAUACAUAAAGUUGGACAGAACAGGUAUUUUUUGAUGCGAAAUGUCUACUCAGUUAAAUGUGUGGUAGAUUAUAUUAGAACUUUGAAUUUAAUCAAGUCAAGAUAGAGACAAGGUAAUGAAUGAAUGUGAUAAUGUGUAUUAAAAGGAAAAGCUGAACAAAUAUUUUUGAACUCAAGCAAACAUGCGUUAGAACUUUAUUUGACAAAAUGGCUCAGCACAGCUUAGAGCAGUAUGAGAAGAGUUCUGAAAUAGCACCUGCCUAUUUAUCCAUUUGUAUUAUUGACAGAACAUAGAUUUGCAGUAUGCAGAGUUGACAAUUUCCAACCAGAUGUUGAAGCACUGAUCUACAUGACAGGAAUUGUGAUCAUUAGUUGCCAUGCUUGAAAAGGAUGUGGACAGAUUCAGUGUGGUUAGGUGCAAUCAGUCCUGAAAUUAAUGCAUAAAUGGAAGAGACACUUUUUCAUUAUUGCCUACUUUGGGGGAAACAGUGGGUGCAGUACUGUCAGAGUUCAGACUGAUAGAUAUUGAUACAAAUCAUUUUUAUAUGAUCUGCCUAUUUAUUAAAAUUGCUUUUCUGCUCUCUAUGUGGAAUUCUAUGAUUCAUUACAUUCUGAACUUCUCAAUGUUCAGAUUGCUGUUCUCAUUGCGAGAAAUAAUGAAAUGGAUUCAUUACUUUAUUCUUAAAAUAUUCUGAUUUAUUUUUGGAUAGAAUGUCUUUGGUGAUUUCAUAUACGUUCUUCUUGUCCAGUUCAUUUAUUUUGCUGUGGAAAAGAACACAUAAUACAUGUUCUGAAGACAAAAAAUAAAAUAAAUAUUUUAAGAAUAAGCAAAUACACAAACAGAAACAAGAAAAAGAAAACCUGAGAUGAUAUAAAGUUUAACAGUAUUUUAAGUGUGAGGUGAAAUUUAGGAUGGUUAAUGUCAUGACAAAUACAGAGGAAUUAUGAUUAUGAGCAACUUUUUAUUGCAUAAGCACCUAUAAAACAGAAUAUUUUUUAAUGCAAAGUUUUAGAAAUUCUUUCAAAAUAAUAUUUUGAAAAACCAGCUUCUCUUACAAGACAAGACUUUUAACAGGAUGACCCGGGAUACUAUUCAUAUUUAAUGGGAAUAAUAAAGUUAACUGACAGGGUCAACUUAGCAUUAUCUAUUUCUUUAGAAUAAUUCUUUAGUUUGUAGCUUAACCUAGAAAAGCUGUUACUUGUUUGAUUGAAUUUUAAUUCAUGAAAAGAAAAAUGAAACAGCCAUAUUCUUGGCAUAGAAAUGAUUAAAACAAUACAAGUAAAGUGAAUAGGAAAGUCCAUGAUGAAACCAAUCUACUGAACAUAAGAUUUCUCAUAGUCCAUUUGAAAGAGUCAUUCGUUCUACCUUGUAAUGUUUUCCAAAGCUGCAACAUCAAGAGGUCAUAUUUCUCCAGAAUCUGCUUUCAUAGAGGAGAAAGUUAGUCUAAGUUGCAGUGAAAUCUAUUCCACAUGACAUUACAUUUAUCAUCAAGAUCAGCACUGAGCAACCUCCUGAGCUGAAAAUGAUUUUGACAUGAUUUAAAUCAAUUAACAUCUUUAUUUAGAGGGAGAACAUGGAUGACAACAGUGAACUUGCUCAGAUUUUCAAAUGAUACAGCCUUCCAGGCGUCUAGAGUCUGCAGAAUAAUAUUUCUUUUAACAUAUGUCUUUCCCCUAAAGUAUGAAUAUUCAGAAAAGCUGUGUAAGACUCAAUCAGGGCUGAAGAGGAACAAAAUUGACAUAUUUAAAAUUACACAAGGAAUUUUAUUUAAUUUUAAGUUUCCAAAAGUCAUUUAAAGGCACAUGAAAACGAAGCCUAUCAGCCAUAUUUUAAGAAAGUGUUUGUUAAAAUUACAUGGAAAAUUUAUUUGAUAAAGUGCAAAUGAAAACGGAAUUAUUGAAGCUAGAUACUUUUAGUGUCUUAUUGUUUCUAUCUACAUUUCUCAUUGCCUUUUUUAUCUUAUCCUCUUGGAAACAUCUCUUCCAACUUUUCCCUAAUAUUUUUAAUAACAUUUAUCUUAUUGCCCUUUCCAUAUAAUCAUCCACCCUCUUUUGUCUCCUUCAAUGGAUACUGAUUUCAGUGCACCACACUCUGGAAAAUAUCACAGAAUCUUAAAAGAAUUUAUGCUUAAAGGUGCCUCUGGAAGUCUUGUAGUCCAACAUUUGACUCAAAGCAAUUCAGUAACAGCAGAUUUCUAAAAACGGUAUCCAGAUGUGUUUUGAAUACCAAGCGAUUCCAAUCCCUCUGACUCUCACAUUCACAGACAUGAAAAAAAUUCCUUACUAGUACUCUACAUUUUCCAUGAUAUGCAUUUUUUUUCUGUUUUCUGUUGUCCUAAUACUAUUGAAUCUAAAAAAGAGUUUUCAUCUCCAUCUUCUCCAUAUCUUUCAACCAGGAGAAAAGUAUUCUGAUCAAUGUCUGAAAAGACUUGUCCUCCUAAGACUGAAUAAUGCCUCUUAUCUCAGCUUAUCUUCUCUUGUCAUGUAGCCCUAAUCAUUUUAUUGCCCUGUACUAGAUGUGUCAAUUUGCUUCUUUUACUGGAAAGUUCAUAGUGCUCUAGAUUUGAUUUUACAGGUGCAAAAAAAUUGGGGAAAAAAUGCAUUACCCUACCUGCUGGCAGCAUCCUUGGUAAUCCAGCCCAGAAUACUGGCAUUUUUUGUUGGAGGUGCACAUUGCUAUUUCAUGUUCAACUUCUAGUUACCAGGACAGUCGGGGUAUUUUCUGCAAAGCUGCAUUUUAUCCGCUAUUAGAUUAUUCCUGAUGAAGUGCAGGAUUUUGCACUUGGUUUUGCUGAAUGUGAUGAGGCUUUUUAAACCCCUUUCUCCAGGCUGUCAAGGUUCUCCAGAAAAGCAGCACUACACUCCAGUAGAAUUAUUAAUACAAAAUUUUGACUAGGAUGCUUAAAUGUAGAGAGGAAUAUUCUAUAGUCUACAAUUAAUAGUUUCCUUGAUCAUUUUACAAAGAGGUCUGGUUCUAUUUGUUCAUUUCUACCAGUAUGAAAGCAGAUCAUUAAACAAAGAUGUUUAUGUCUCUUUUGACUCCAGGUUGGUCCUUAAAAUAUAGGGUUUGUUUUGUCUAGUAGGCCAAAGGCCUACUCAGGGACUCAUUUGUUAUUCCUGUGGAUGGAGAAGCAGGUAUAAGUGAUGGUACUUUUUUGUCUUUCCACUGAAAAAAAAUCUUGAGGUAGAAUCAGAAAGUAGACAAGCUUGUCUACUCAAUAUAAUUUUUUUUUUUUUUUUAAGACAGUGGUGUAAUACAGCAAUGGAAGUCAACCUUACCCCAUCUGGUAGAUGACAGUUGGCUGUGUGACCAAGCUAAUUGUUUCAGAAGAUAUCAGUUCUAGAUACAUCUUCUCAGUACUAUCAGUUCUAGAUACAUCUUCUCAGUACUAGCCAAGAAAUAUUUGUACUGUACUUUUAAGUUGGGUUUAUCUUGCUUACCAAGUCUCUGUGUCUGGUGAAGAAUGCCCAAGGAAAAGAGAUUCAGAGAGGGAAGAUAAAAGAACUAGCAUUACUGCAAGAUUGUUGCAGACUGUCUAAAUGUUCAGUAUGAACAUUCUGAUGUUCUUUACAGAGGUAGUAAACAUGACAGUACAUUCUCUAUGACUGCCUAUUCUUAUACCAAGUAAUAUCCCUAAGACAGUUGUUUUCAUCCUUUUUCUCAUCUUGCUUUUAUUUGCUAUAAUAAGAGUAUAUUACAGUUAGGAAUGCAAGCAAGGGUGUUAUUUGCUAGGUGUCUUGGACAGAACACAGCUCUCACCUUCCUGGGAAUAGAGUUGGCAGAUACAAGGUGCAAAUUCAUGUUCCCCAACUCUUAAUGUUUUCAUUUGACUAGGUGAAAAAAGAAAAACAAUAAACAAUGGAAAUUUCUGCCUGUGAUAGGAAAAGGGCAAGGAUUUUAAACUAAAAGAGAAGAGAUUUAGAUUAGAUAUUAGGAAGAAAUUCUUUAUUAUGAGGGUGCAAGGGGAGAUAAGGCACUGGAACAUGUUACCCAAAGAAGCUGUGAAUAUCUCAUUUCUGGAAGUGUUCAGUGCCAGGUUGGAUGGGUAUUUGGAUAACCACUUAUACUGGGUGGCUACCCUGCCCAUGGCAGAGGCAAGGAACUAGAUCAUAGAAGCAUAGAAUCAUAGAAUGGCUUGGGUUGGAAGGCACUUCAAAGAUCUAGUUCCAAACAUCCUGUCAUGGAUAGGGUUGCCAACCAUAGGUCAGACCUCCUACAGCCCCAACUCAGCCUAGCUUCUACAGCUGAGGCAUCCACAAAUUCUCUGGGCAGCCUGUUCUGGUACCUCACUACUUUCUCAGUGAUCACCUUCGUGACCCUUCUCUGGUGCUGUUUCAAAAGCUCCUCAAAAGCUCCAAAAGCUCCAGAUGAUUUUUAAGAUUCCUUGCAACACAAGCCAUUUUAUGAUUCUAUGAAUCUUCACAAUCCUCAUUCUUCUAUUGCAGCUAGGAGCAAUUUUGUGAGCUUCCUUACUCCUGUUCUAUGGAGACACAAGAGUAAGGAGAAAGCAGUCAUCUAAUCUCCAACGGUUUUCUUUACAAGUCAGGAGUUUACUUAACCUAUUCUCAUUCUGGUCCACUUCCUUUACAACUGAGCACCCAGGACUGCGCAAAACUAAUUUUAAGCGCUGCAAGGAAAUAUUUUAACUACAUUACUCACAUAUAUGAUUUUUCUUUUGAUUUAUGUAAUAUUUAUUCCUGAAGAGAAAGAUUUGUUUUAUGGAGAUCACUGUAAGGAAAAAAAAAAAAAAACAAAUAAUGUUAAAAUUAAGCAUUAAUAAUUCUUACAUUUUUUAGACAUUUGUAUCAGUUAAAUAAAAUAGAAAUGUAGCCACAUAAAAAUCCAUAUGGUUUUAAGCUGAUUAGAUCAAUAAAGUAUGAUCUCAUGAAGCAUUAUAUUAUUAUUCUUCCUUUCCAUGCUGACUUAAGAAAAGCAAUUUCUGUACUUUUUUUUUUUUUUUUGCAUUGAAUACUGCAGUACUCUUAACUGUAUUUAAAGUAAGAUUGUUCAAAACUUCACGUUAGUUCAAACAAACCUCUUUGUUAAGAUUUAACAUUACAGAUAGUUACAAAAGUGAUUAAAAAAAAUAAGCAUAAACCUAAAAAUUCUCUCCAUAUGUUUUAAAUUAGAUAAAAUACUGGCAUUAACUGUCAUAGUGAUAUAUAAGGUUUCAGCUUUGUUUUCAAAAUCUAAAAAAAACCAAUAAAAAGUGUUUCUAGAAUUUAAACCAUCAGAACUACAGAGAAAAUCAUGCCACAUUAUCCAUUUGAGUCCAUAAUGAAUUGGAAAAUGUACUCAUGAGGCACGUGAGCUACUUUGUCCACUUCAUAAUCUGAUAGUCCAAUACUUAAAGAAAACGCUACAAGUUUGAAACCACCACUAACUGUUUCAGCAGCUAUGAAACACUGCAUCUUCCUUUUAAUGCAUAUUGGCAGAAAAGCAAGACAAAGCCAACAAAUAACUCUGACACUAUAAAAGGACAGAAAAGAAAACAUUAAAAAAAACAAACAAAAAACAUAUACUCAUGUUCUGGACACCAUCUAUUGCCAGUGUCAUUUUAUUUUGUCAUCUCAUUAGGAAGAGUUUAACCUUAGAGAGAAAUUAGGAUCAGUAUAAAGCUAACAAGACACAUGGCCCUUUCUCGCAAAAUCUGGAACAAAAUUCACAACAGUGAAGCAAGUGUGCAUGGUUAGGUGGAAGCUGGCAUGGAGAAGCAGACUUUUCCUACAAAGGAAAUUAAUAUACAGCCAUGAAACAGUGGAACACAACUAAAUUGUCGGGGAAGACCUUAUCACAAUAGUCCAGUACUUCAUGUACAAAG